UACGUAAGGGGCGAGCGUUGUUCGGAAUCACUGGGCGUAAAGGGUACGUAGGCGGAUUGAUAAGUUGGAUGUGAAAUCUUUGGGCUCAACUCAAAAACUGCGUCCAAAACUGUCAGUCUAGAGUUUGGUAUAGGAAAACGGAAUUCCUGGUGUAGGAGUGAAAUCUAUAGAUAUCAGGAAGAACACCGAUGGCGAAGGCAGUUUUCUGGUUCAAAACUGACGCUGAUGUACGAAAGCUAGGGGAGCGAACGGG
rnacentral:rRNA from 1 species